rnacentral:rRNA from 1 species
UCCAGACUCCUACGGGAGGCAGCAGUGGGGGAUAUUGCACAAUGGGGGAAACCCUGAUGCAGCGACGCCGCGUGGGCGAAGAAGUAUUUCGGUAUGUAAAGCCCUAUCAGCAGGGAAGAAGAAAUGACGGUACCUGAGUAAGAAGCACCGGCUAAAUACGUGCCAGCAGCCGCGGUAAUACGUAGGGGGCGAGCGUUAUCCGGAUUCACUGGGUGUAAAGGGAGCGUAGACGGCCAAGCAAGCCAGGGGUGAAAGCCCGGGGCCCAACCCCGGGACUGCCCUUGGAACUGCAUGGCUGGAGUGCGGGAGGGGCAGGCGGAAUUCCUGGUGUAGCGGUGAAAUGCGUAGAUAUCAGGAGGAACACCGGUGGCGAAGGCGGCCUGCUGGACUGCGACUGACGUUGAGGCCCGAAAGCGUGGGGAGCAAACAGGAUUAGAUACCCGAGUA